rnacentral:lncRNA from 1 species
CUGGGCUUAAUUUGACAUGAAAUGGGUUUGCAAGUCAAACUGAUGCAAGCCACAUUUAACCUAGUAAGAAGAGAAUGAGAAAGAAAUUUUAGUUUAAAUAAGGUGAAGUCUCUGAGAACUGAGUCUUGAUGACAUUCAUUAUAACAAUUUAAGAUGCUGGCACUCUCUGCACUGCUUCUCAAGCAGACCUUUCUCCCACUCCACAGAGACAGCAGAUCUGCAUCCUGCUUGUGUUUCAGGCAUCCUAAGUCAUUGCUUGAUGUUCCAGGAUACCUAGAGAAUCACCAUUUUUCAUACCAAUGUACUCAAGGGGAAGAGAACCAUAGCUUUGUGCUCAGAUUUUGGCACUGUUGUCUUCUGCCCACUCCCUUUUGGGAAUAGAGGAACUUCUGACUUUGGUCCUUGGUGAAGCAGAAGGGGAAUGUGGUCUGUACUUAAUUUUGCAAGGCAGUGCCAAGAUGCCAGAAGUCCCAUGGCUCAAGCACUGAAGAGGCAACUACUCCAAGCAAUUGACAGCAGAACUCUACUUCCAAUUUCUGGCAUGCUGACCACUAUUACUGUGCUUGUCCAGCCCAGUUCCAAGAGUGGAAGAGGUGAUUUGGGCAGACAGUCAUCAGCCCUUAUGAUGGGUAACCAGGAAAAACCAGCCCCGUGGGAUCAGUGAGAUUUAGAAUUUCCCAUCCCUUUCAUUCUCCUGGAGCAGCUGAGCCUGGAGUCACUACCUGAUGUGCUGCUGUCAGACCAGCCUUCGUACUGUCCAUGUGUCCAACUCCACGAUCUACCUAUGACUGUCUGGAACUGCCAGGCUUGCAAAAUGGUAUUGGAAACGUAGGUAGGAGAAGUUAGUUGCCUAACAUGCUGUGUCACAAGGCAGGAAUGCCAGUGUUUUCAGCACCUGGUUACUCUACUCCCUGGUGAGGAUGUUUGUUUAACAUUUCACAUUUUCAGACAGAAGCCGUGCCUGCUGUGGUGUCACUUAUGCUAGAGCAGCCUCAUGGAUCCGUCUUCCCCUUUGAUGACUCCAACUCACUCAUCAGAUGGAUGAGGGGCACUGCCCACUGCCUGGGAAGGCUGUCACUGCUGAGGUUGGCAUCCCUUGAGCUGCACAGGUAACCCAUCACAUUUAUACUGUUUACUUUAAAUUGGAAGAAUUUGCUUUAAAUUGGAGGCUUAAGCAUGAUCCUCUUUGCUUCCACUUCACCAAUUCCAGUCAGGAGUGCAUGGUUAGCUCCUUGUCAGAUACGUUUUCCUACCAUACUUUUUAUGAUGUCCCUGAA